AGGCUGGAGGAGAAAAUUAGUGUUUACGCGAGUGCAAAGAAUACAUGCCGCGAGACAGGACACGAUAAGACGUCCAAAAGCGCCGCGCUAUCAACCACCGCCACGAAACGUCGUCGUCGUCGUCAUCAUUGUCUUCCCGUUGACUUCCUCGAUUAGAUCAGAAUACUGAAAUUUGACUAAUGCCGUUACCAACCGACAUGGAAGCGAAAUUGCUGCGCCAAAUAGUUCUUGCAGGUAUGGCGGAUCUAAAAGAGGAUCAGGAUAAGGCCAAGUGGAAACAUGCUUUAGAGGUUAGGUAUGAACACCAUCAGAAAUGGAGGAACCUGUGUUCAUG